rnacentral:lncRNA from 1 species
GAUAGUUUUUUUUUUUUUUUUUUUUUUUUUUUUUUUUUUUUUUUUUUUUUGAGAGAGAGAGAUAGGUAGCGCGCUACCUGCUUCGUUUAUUUCAUUUAGAAAUAAACUUAGAUGGAAAUGUGAAUCAGCUAGAAUUCGAACUUGAGACCUCGGGUAUCAACCACCAAACCCUUUGCUACUUACUCUAGGGACGAUCGGUAUAUUCAGAUAGUAUUUGGACAAGGUAAGAUGUUAAACAUGUAGAGUUCCCCUGUAACUCUAGAACAACCCUAACCUAUAAAUUCAAGGCAUGAAGCUCCCAAAAUGUCUGUAGAAAAUAACAAAAUAAUCUUUGUUUAUGACUUAGGGUCUGUUUUGCUUCACUUUUGGAUGCCUAUUUUAUGCAAAGCGAGCCAUAUCAAGUAUGUGAUGAAGUUUUACGCGAGUAAUUUUCAUGACACCAUCUUUGCGCAGGAAUGGAAUUCAUGCCGGAUAAUCAAACUCAAAAGCAGAACUAUGCUGACCAGUAUUAUGCACUUUAACUUAUUAACGGUUGUGCCAGUCACGCCGACAAGACUAAAUAGUUUCUUCUUAUCUGUUUGGCCUAAUUUCUCAAACAACGAAUUUAUAAAAGAAAAGUAGUAA